rnacentral:rRNA from 1 species
AACGAACGCUGGCGGCAUGCCUAACACAUGCAAGUCGAGCGAGAUCUUCGGGUCUAGUGGCGCACGGGUGCGUAACGCGUGGGAAUCUGCCCUUUGGUUCGGAAUAACAGUUGGAAACGACUGCUAAUACCGGAUGAUGACGAAAGUCCAAAGAUUUAUCGCCAGAGGAUGAGCCUGCGUAGGAUUAGCUAGUUGGUGUGGUAAAGGCGCACCAAGGCGACGAUCCUUAGCUGGUCUGAGAGGAUGAUCAGCCACACUGGGACUGAGACACGGCCCAGACUCCUACGGGAGGCAGCAGUGGGGAAUAUUGGACAAUGGGCGAAAGCCUGAUCCAGCAAUGCCGCGUGAGUGAUGAAGGCCUUAGGGUUGUAAAGCUCUUUUACCCGGGAUGAUAAUGACAGUACCGGGAGAAUAAGCUCCGGCUAACUCCGUGCCAGCCGCCGCGGUAA